rnacentral:rRNA from 1 species
CGGAGGAUCCAAGCGUUAUCCGGAAUCAUUGGGUUUAAAGGGUCCGUAGGCGGUUUUGUAAGUCAGUGGUGAAAGCCCAUCGCUCAACGGUGGAACGGCCAUUGAUACUGCAAGACUUGAAUUACUAGGAAGUAACUAGAAUAUGUAGUGUAGCGGUGAAAUGCUUAGAUAUUACAUGGAAUACCAAUUGCGAAGGCAGGUUACUACUAGUGGAUUGACGCUGAUGGACGAAAGCGUGGGGAGCGAACAGGAUUAGACUACCCUGGUAGUCCACGCCGUAAACGAUGGAUACUAGCUGUUCGAGAGCAAUCUUGAGUGGCUAAGACGAAAGUGAUAAGCACUCCCACCGUGGGGAGUACGAACGCUAAGUU